AAGUCGUAACAAGGUCUCCGUAGGUGAACCUGCGGAGGGAUCAUUAACACGUUUCCAACAAACGUUUAUCAACCCAAUCACCGUGAACCUAUAAACACUCCCUUUGCAGUUGUGAUCGAACGAACAAUCAUCAGGGUGGAGUUCAGUGCUUGAAAAAGCAUCUGGGCUAUGACUCGUUCUAGGGGCCUUCGAGGCUUCAAUCCGCUGUGAAGUGUAUGCGCGACCACCUGGCAGUCUACAAACCCUUCUUCGGGAGGGCGAGUAGCGUUCUGCCGAAUGUUUAACCCCAAUAUUUUUAACCCCUUUAACAACAUACUAAUAAACUGAACCAUAUUUUUCAACAUAUGGCCGCAUAUGUGGUCAUGUGUGAAAAAGAUAUACGUAAUGCUGAACAACUCUUAGCAAUGGAUAUCUUGGUUCUC
rnacentral:misc_RNA from 1 species